CUCCCUCUCCUCUGAAAUCAAUAAAAGUAUCUUUUAAAAGGUGGGGGAGCCACAACAUGCCCAGGAGGUGCCCUGGAGCCGGCUAUUUUAACCGACUUCUCUCUCUAGCCUUCUCAUCUCAAUGAAAGCUCCCCUUUGGUGGCAACUGGAGAGAAGCCAAAGGGCUGAAAGCUCGUCUUGUGAGCUUUGUAUGCUACCGAAUAUUAGCGGAUGUCUUUUUGGGAGACAGUGGGAAAGGAUUUAUCACUUGGAGCCAGCAUGGGCUCAGCUCAUUUCCUCCUUGUGUAGGCACUGACAUUAAUGUCUAGCUCUCCUUGUUUAAGCUCUGAUAUGUAUCUUACCUCUGGAACCAGCACCCAUAUGGUCUGUGCUUGAUGGGUUAUUACUGUGGUCACCAAUUCCAAAUAGGCUUGAGAAGAUGUAGAAUGAAGGUUUCGCUUUUCAACGUUUGAGAAAAAUGCUGUAUCAAAUAAUCAGAAUAAAAUGCCGAGGUUUUUAAAAAAUUGA